UUAAGUUAUUAAGGGCGCACGGUGGAUGCCUUGGCACUAGAAGCCGAUGAAGGACGUUACUAACGACGAUAUGCUUUGGGGAGCUGUAAGUAAGCUUUGAUCCAGAGAUUUCCGAAUGGGGAAACCCAGCAUGAGUUAUGUCAUGUUAUCGAUAUGUGAAUACAUAGCAUAUCAGAAGGCACACCCGGAGAACUGAAACAUCUUAGUACCCGGAGGAAGAGAAAGAAAAUUCGAUUCCCUUAGUAGCGGCGAGCGAAACGGGAAGAGCCCAAACCAAAAAGCUUGCUUGUUGGGGUUGUAGGACACUCUAUACGGAGUUACAAAGGACGACAUUAGACGAAUCAUCUGGAAAGAUGAAUCAAAGAAGGUAAUAAUCCUGUAGUCGAAAAUGUUGUCUCUCUUGAGUGGAUCCUGAGUACGACGGAGCACGUGAAAUUCCGUCGGAAUCUGGGAGGACCAUCUCCUAAGGCUAAAUACUCUCUAGUGACCGAUAGUGAACCAGUACCGUGAGGGAAAGGUGAAAAGCACCCCGGAAGGGGAGUGAAAUAGAACCUGAAACCGUGUGCUUACAAGUAGUCAGAGCCCGUUAAUGGGUGAUGGCGUGCCUUUUGUAGAAUGAACCGGCGAGUUACGAUUUGAUGCAAGGUUAAGCAGUAAAUGUGGAGCCGUAGCGAAAGCGAGUCUGAAUAGGGCGUUUAGUAUUUGGUCGUAGACCCGAAACCAGGUGAUCUACCCUUGGUCAGGUUGAAGUUCAGGUAACACUGAAUGGAGGACCGAACCGACUUACGUUGAAAAGUGAGCGGAUGAACUGAGGGUAGCGGAGAAAUUCCAAUCGAACCUGGAGAUAGCUGGUUCUCUCCGAAAUAGCUUUAGGGCUAGCCUCAAGUGAUGAUUAUUGGAGGUAGAGCACUGUUUGGACGAGGGGCCCCUCUCGGGUUACCGAAUUCAGACAAACUCCGAAUGCCAAUUAAUUUAACUUGGGAGUCAGAACAUGGGUGAUAAGGUCCGUGUUCGAAAGGGAAACAGCCCAGACCACCAGCUAAGGUCCCAAAAUAUAUGUUAAGUGGAAAAGGAUGUGGCGUUGCCCAGACAACUAGGAUGUUGGCUUAGAAGCAGCCAUCAUUUAAAGAGUGCGUAAUAGCUCACUAGUCGAGUGACACUGCGCCGAAAAUGUACCGGGGCUAAACAUAUUACCGAAGCUGUGGAUUGUCCUUUGGACAAUGGUAGGAGAGCGUUCUAAGGGCGUUGAAGCAUGAUCGUAAGGACAUGUGGAGCGCUUAGAAGUGAGAAUGCCGGUGUGAGUAGCGAAAGACGGGUGAGAAUCCCGUCCACCGAUUGACUAAGGUUUCCAGAGGAAGGCUCGUCCGCUCUGGGUUAGUCGGGUCCUAAGCUGAGGCCGACAGGCGUAGGCGAUGGAUAACAGGUUGAUAUUCCUGUACCACCUAUAAUCGUUUUAAUCGAUGGGGGGACGCAGUAGGAUAGGCGAAGCGUGCGAUUGGAUUGCACGUCUAAGCAGUAAGGCUGAGUAUUAGGCAAAUCCGGUACUCGUUAAGGCUGAGCUGUGAUGGGGAGAAGACAUUGUGUCUUCGAGUCGUUGAUUUCACACUGCCGAGAAAAGCCUCUAGAUAGAAAAUAGGUGCCCGUACCGCAAACCGACACAGGUAGUCAAGAUGAGAAUUCUAAGGUGAGCGAGCGAACUCUCGUUAAGGAACUCGGCAAAAUGACCCCGUAACUUCGGGAGAAGGGGUGCUCUUUAGGGUUAACGCCCAGAAGAGCCGCAGUGAAUAGGCCCAAGCGACUGUUUAUCAAAAACACAGGUCUCUGCUAAACCGUAAGGUGAUGUAUAGGGGCUGACGCCUGCCCGGUGCUGGAAGGUUAAGAGGAGUGGUUAGCUUCUGCGAAGCUACGAAUCGAAGCCCCAGUAAACGGCGGCCGUAACUAUAACGGUCCUAAGGUAGCGAAAUUCCUUGUCGGGUAAGUUCCGACCCGCACGAAAGGCGUAACGAUUUGGGCACUGUCUCAACGAGAGACUCGGUGAAAUCAUAGUACCUGUGAAGAUGCAGGUUACCCGCGACAGGACGGAAAGACCCCGUGGAGCUUUACUGUAGCCUGAUAUUGAAAUUCGGCACAGCUUGUACAGGAUAGGUAGGAGCCUUUGAAACGUGAGCGCUAGCUUACGUGGAGGCGCUGGUGGGAUACUACCCUAGCUGUGUUGGCUUUCUAACCCGCACCACUUAUCGUGGUGGGAGACAGUGUCAGGCGGGCAGUUUGACUGGGGCGGUCGCCUCCUAAAAGGUAACGGAGGCGCUCAAAGGUUCCCUCAGAAUGGUUGGAAAUCAUUCAUAGAGUGUAAAGGCAUAAGGGAGCUUGACUGCGAGACCUACAAGUCGAGCAGGGUCGAAAGACGGACUUAGUGAUCCGGUGGUUCCGCAUGGAAGGGCCAUCGCUCAACGGAUAAAAGCUACCCCGGGGAUAACAGGCUUAUCUCCCCCAAGAGUUCACAUCGACGGGGAGGUUUGGCACCUCGAUGUCGGCUCAUCGCAUCCUGGGGCUGUAGUCGGUCCCAAGGGUUGGGCUGUUCGCCCAUUAAAGCGGUACGCGAGCUGGGUUCAGAACGUCGUGAGACAGUUCGGUCCCUAUCCGUCGUGGGCGUAGGAAAUUUGAGAGGAGCUGUCCUUAGUACGAGAGGACCGGGAUGGACAUACCUCUGGUGUACCAGUUGUCGUGCCAACGGCAUAGCUGGGUAGCUAUGUGUGGACGGGAUAAGUGCUGAAAGCAUCUAAGCAUGAAGCCCCCCUCAAGAUGAGAUUUCCCAACUUCGGUUAUAAGAUCCCUCAAAGAUGAUGAGGUUAAUAGGUUCGAGGUGGAAGCAUGGUGACAUGUGGAGCUGACGAAUACUAAUCGAUCGAAGACUUAAUC
rnacentral:rRNA from 1 species